rnacentral:lncRNA from 1 species
UCAGAGGCGAGAGGUGGAAGGGCAGUUGUGUUACAGGGAGCCUCCCAAGAUCUUGCGAAGCAGUUCUUCCUUGGGCAAGGAGGAAAGCCCCGCCUCCAGCGGGGAGGGGAUGCAAGGGCCAGGAGAUGCUAGGGAGAGCCCCAACAACGAGCCUGAGCAAACCGGAGAGAAGGGAAACACCCCUUUGUCAGCGCCCACUCUGCACAGUAGGUUCCGGCGCAGAGAGGGUAGGAGAAGAAUGGGGGUCACAUCACUGUUAUGCUGGGGGAGGUACAAGGACCAGCCACGCCCAGAUUCUGCUAGCGACUGAGCAGAAACGGAUUUGCGACACUCUGCACAGUAAAAAGUCCGUUUUAACAAUAAAGCCUGGAAAAGACAGGUUGGAGUCUUGCCUGUUUGCUCUCGAGCAACCACAACAGCACUUGACACAGAGGACAAAUGGGUGCCCCCAGUCAACUGGCUGUUGGCGAGAAGGACAAAGGCCAGUGCUAUGUGAGUAAGCUAGAAGUUAGAAGCAGGCUGAAGUCUGUGAGGGAGAGAUGUGCUUGAUUUCUGCUGGAAUCCAAGGCUGCAGCUGUCAUGAUCUGAGGUGUGAGCAGCAAGAGUUCAGGGCUGGCACGCCAAAACUGAGGUACAGGCGGUGGUGCAGGUAGCAGAGGCAGUCCAACUGGUGGGUCCAUGGUCAGGAACAGAGGAGGUCAGGAUGCAGGAGCAGAAGCAGAAGCAGGCUACAGCUUGGCAUAAGACCAUGUUGCUGUGGCAAAGACCAAGGGCGAAAUGCAGGCCUUAUAUCAGUGGUUCCCAACCUUGUUUUGGCAAUGCCCCACCUAAGCAUCUAUAAAAUCCUGAUGCCUCCCCACCCCCCGUGACAUAUAAUUCUUAUUAUUCAAAAAGUGAACUCCUAUUCACAUGGAGGAAACCUAAAAGGCCAUUCCCUGUUAAUAUCUCAUUCUCGAAUUAUCCCCCUUAAAAAGCAAAAUGCCCCUCUGUGGGGCAUGUGCCCCACAUUGGGAACCACGACCUUAUAUAGACUUCCUGAGCUUGCCUCCAGCUGCAGAGCAUCUCAUCAGAUGACUGCACUUGCCAGCCUCCACCCGAUUCCCCUAAGGCAAGCACGACCAGGACCUGGUUUCCUCAAACCUCACAGUGCUCAUUACAGCAGCUAUGGGGGAAGCAAGACCACCUUGGGGUGUGAACACUGUGAGCCACUCCACCACAUACUCAGGUUGCGUUGUUGUUGUUGUUUAGUCAUUUAGUCAUGUCCGACUCUUCGUGACCCCAUGGACCAGAGCACGCCAGGCACUCCUGUCUCCCACUGCCUCCCGCAGUUUGGUCAAACUCAUGCUGGUAGCUUCGAGAACACUGUCCAACCAUCUUGUCCUCUGUCGUCCCCUUCUCCUUGUGCCCUCCAUCUUUCCCAACAUCAGGGUCUUUUCCAGGGAGUCUUCUCUUAUGAUGUGGCCAAAGUAUUGGAGCCUCAGCUUCAGGAUCUGUCCUUCCAGUGAGCACUCAGGGCUGAUUUCCUUCAGAAUGGAUAAGUUUGAUCUUCUUGCAGUCCAUGGGACUCUCCAGCACCAUAAUUCAAAACAGGUUGCGUUAGAUGUACAUAAACCAUAUAUCCUAAAGACAUCUCGGUCUCCACUGUCGCUCAUUCCAAGGAAGCCAAAUCUUGGGUAAGCGCCCUGGAAUCUCACACAGUUCAGAGAUUGGGGUGGUGUAUGACAACCGCAUACCCAAUCCGCAUGCAAAACCCACAAAAUCGCAUGCACCCAAAAUUAAAAUGGGUAGCACUCCCCAGUGCCCCACUACCACCUUGAAACUUACCAGAUAGCAACAAGACCCCUUUCUUCCCCACCAGCUUCCUUUCUUAACAACAACAGUCAGCUUGACAAGGCAUGCUAGGAAGCUCUGGCUGCCUUGCCUUCUGGGUACCACACUGGUGACACCAACUGUACAGUGAAGCUAUAUCAGGGCCUUUGUGAGAAAUUCAAAUGGUUCUCUCCAAUGUCAAGUGCUUGGAAUAGUGACAGGAGAGACCAUCGCUACUGAGCUUGACAGCUAUCCAAGGACCCCACUAUCUGUGUUCAGAACCGUUGUUUCCAUCCAAAUGAAAAUUUCCAUGAAAAAGCAAUAUUUUCACUUAAUAUGCACGUGCCUCAAUAUAUUUUCCCUCACAAUAUGCAUUUCUAGACCUAGUUUCUCUCUCCAAAUAAGCAAUUUAAAAUUUAUUUCGUAUGUAUGUGUGUUUUAGCCAAGAACUGUGUCGGAACAUUCAGGAAUUUGCAAAAGAUCAACUUCAAGCAUUUCUGAGCAGAGGCAGCCUAACUAAACAGAAAUUAUAUCAUUCAGUUACGCUGUUAAGCCAGCUUCUUUUAUUAAUUUCCUUUAAACCUGGUAAGUAAAAACUAACAAGUCUGUGUCGUUUUAGCUCCACGGUAAUUGGCACACAUUUAAAAAAAACCACACACACCACUUUCUGAACCUUUCUCUAAGCAAAGUUCACAUUUUGACUUAAUCCACAAAAGCUCAAACUAUGAAAAAAUUAUAGUGCCUUUCAUUUUAUUUUAUUUUUAAUGUAACUUUCAUAACUACACAUGCGACCUCUAUCGCAACCCCCCCAUCUAAGUUCUACAAUCUGCAAGCUAUAGCCUCAGUCUGUUUUGCAGUGACUCAUUUUUUUUUAAUUUUAAAGAUGCAUUAUCUCUAGCUAGUAAAUUAACAGCAGCCUAUAGUGCACACACUGUCAUCCAUCUGCUUAAGGCUUCUUGUCAUAUGACACCAGCCUUGUAUCUAUAGAUUUCAUGCGGUAUUCAAAAGCGAUCAACCCUGCCUUCGAGAUAGCCCACCUUCUGGCUCCAGGCUAGAAAAGUGACUCUCUAUUUCCAAGUCUAAUGACUGCAGAGGUAACAGAAGUUUUCCUUCUCCCCCAUUAAGGGUCUGGCAUCUCAGAAGGUGGGGGGGGGGACACAGACUCUAAUUAAAAUUGCUAGAUUUUAUUUUUUUUAAGGAAACCAAACUAAUUGGCUCUUACCCGCUGUUACCAAUCAUAAGGGAACAAUGACACACCUUCCGUGUCCCCAUAUCACUGGCCUUUACUGCAAGGAAUUGAUUAAAAAAAAACAACCCUACCAUAACAAAUUCUUUCCAGUGAGCUAGCUACGUAAGCCAGUUGCCACCAUUUUGUUUCCUACUCUUGACAUUUUAUUACAGGUGGCAUGACCAAGGAUGGAAACACAGGUUUGAGCUAUGCACAUGGAGAUCAAAACUACAUCCCCAGUGGCUUCCAUUGAUCUGCAUGGCAGGGAAGUAAACAGGCUGCAACCUGGGACACAGAAAUCAGAGAGGGAACAGGAACAUGCUGGACAGUUGUUGUGAUAGAUCAGAGAUGGUAAAUCUGAGACCCUCCAGAAGUUAUUGGAACUCUAUCUUCCAUCAGCUUCCAGUCUGCAUGACCAAAGGUGAUGGAGGAUGUGAGUUGCCAUCCAGCAGCAUCUAGAGAGCCACAGGUUCCCUAUCUCUGAAUUAAGUGAAGACUUUGAGCCUACUGGGCUCACUCUCCUCCAAAACAAGUGUGAUGACAACCACAGGAAAGCCUAUGAACCUUCUAUGUGGGGUUAUCACUCACCAUGAAAUGAUUUUGUAUGGGGGCUCCAUAAUGGCACCACUUCAUCUGGUGGAGCACUGAGCACGGUUAUGUUAUACCUCUGUACCAUUGCAGUAACUACGAAGUAACUUUAUAAAGUGAGAGUUACACAGACCCCAAGUCUUGAGUGAAAGUUCCACAUAAUGCCCAGUAAAGCUCCAUACACACCAACGGUGCUGCUGUAUAAAUAAAGGGUAUAUAAAUACACUAUAUAAACAAAGUGGUACUUGAUUUCCUACAUCAGCAGAGAGUUGGACUAUGUUACUUUUGAGGUCCCUUCCAGCUUUAUGAUUCAAUGAUUCGCCAUCAUCACAUGCAGCAAUUAUAAUCAAAACUCAUCAAGAUUCUAAUCUCUUGAGCAACACUAACUAAUAGCAUCACAUCUUCUGCUUUAGGUAGCUGUUUACAAGCACUAUAGAACAGCAAACAUAAAGCUCAGGUGCUAAAGAACUUCUGCAAAUUAUGAACUGCUCUAGUUUAGUCUAGUCUCUCUGGUAUGCACUCUUGGAAUCUUGACAGGCCUAGAGCCAAACCAGACAUGUUGCUCAUCAAGUAACUUCAUAGAAUCAUAGAAACAGAAUUGUAGAGUUGGAAGGGAUCAUCUAGUCCAACUUGUGUCUUUCUUUCUUUCUUUCUUUCUUUCUUUCUUUCUUUCUUUCCCUCCCAAAUAGCAGCUGUGGGGAAGGGAGAAAUCUGGGUCAGCACUCGAGUGUGAGGGGAGACAUGUUUAAGCCUUUGUCUUCAGAUGCGGGACAACAGACCCUUUCCUUCUUCUCUCUGACUCUUUCGCCUUUACUGUGAUUAGUCUCCUCCUCAGAGAGUCCCAUCUCAUCCUUGUCUACAAACUGAAAGACCAAAAUUAGGUUCCUCUGGUAGCAGCCUAUGGCCUGGUUUGUGCCACAUGGUAAGCUAAACUAUGGCUUAUUGAGGCCAAGUAAACAUGUGGGCUCCUGCAGAGUUGCUCACGGCUGCUAUCCCCAGUCCUUUUUGCUCUCAAAAUUCACGGAGCUAAACCAAGGAUCAGCUUAAUGUGUCCUUCAAACUGGGACUCAUGGUUAAGCUCUCUCUUCACCAGCUAUGAGCUACAGCCAAGGUCUGUUAUUGUCUACAGCUUGAGGUUAGUAAGGAGACAGCUGAACCACAAACCCAGGUCUGAAUGAUACAUUAAGCCAAAGCUUUAACUCAAUGUGGUUUGAUGUUAAAAAGGCCCAAGGAGGAUCAAAGCAUGCUCCUCUCCAUGAGUGUGCAUGUUCACGUGGUCCCAGUAAGCCAUAGCUUGACUCAACAUGUUAUGCAAACCAGGCCUAUGAAUAGCCGGUGCCCAAUCUGAUCUCUUAGAAGAGUUCCUUAACUCUCCAAAGUUCCAUGUCCAGACAUUUAUUUAGCUUUCCAAUCUGACAAGACUACAGCAGUCUUCCUUCCUGAUCUUGAGAACAAAAGAGGUGGCUUUCCAAUGGUUUCAUUAGGCAAUACUCCUCAUAUUUUGCAUCACCAAAAUCAUAACUGACUCUCCCCUCAGAAGACAGCUCCAAUGAAUUGUAAGCACUUAAUGCCUGGGCUCUAACAAGAUUCAGAGGGGAAAUGGCUAUCUUCUGCUGAUCUAGAGUAUCAACUGACUGAAUGGCUAUCAGAAACAGCUGCAUUUCCUCCUUAAACCUUUUCCAGCCCUCAGCCCCGUUAUCUUAGACAUUCAAGAAUGAGAAGACCUUUAAAUAGUUCAUAAUAAUAUAUUGUUUCCACAACAUCUGUUUACUUUGGUCCAUAGUCUAUGCGCAAGUUUCACUCCUAAUUCAGCAGACUGCUAUGUUGCAUUUUCGUAGCUCUGCUAUUAAAACAAACACCAAGUAAUGUCAUUAAGUAACUCCAUUAAUCAUAAUUAAAAACUAUCAAGUCCAUGUCCUAGAUCCAACUGUCACACACAGCAAAUGUUAGGCUCACCAUGUCUUAGGGCAGGGGUGGGGAACUUCGGUCCACAGGCCAGAGGCAACUCACUGCUAGAGUUUAUAUGCUCCUCUGGGUUCCUCUAUCAGCUGUUCAACAGGGAGGGUGAAAGGCUUUGAUGUUGCACAGUGGUGACAAUUGCAUAUCCUUCUUCUGCAAGGAGACCUGCUGCAAGAUAAACUUAUAUGUCCAAACAUUUAAUAAAGUUGUGGCCUGCUAUUUACCGCUCAAAUGCUGUGAGUUGGCACUGUGUCUUCAUCCUCACUGCCGAAUAAUUAAGAGCGGGUCACUGAGAGCACAAAUCCUCCACCUAAAAUGACCGCUUAUGCAUCACCAGAAAAGAGGAAAUGUAUCACACACACAAAUGAGAGCAAAAGUAGUCAUAGAUUUGAAUAACAUCUGCAUGCAUUGGAGAUGGCCAGGUGGACUACUAUCCAGAUGCUAACUGUUGACGGGCAACUUCAAGGCUUUCACUCUCUGUUUUCCUUGUUUUUUUCUUUUAACCAGACUUGGACCAGGCAGUCCUUCAGACAGAAGACUCCUGAAAAUAAAGGGCUGUGCUCUGAAAGUUCAUCUAACAGAGAACAGCCCUCUGUACAGCAAGACGCCUGGCCACAUUACUUCCCAAAUUUGGUACUGCAGGAGAGAUCAUGUCCUCCCUAAAAGAGGGCACGUGUUGCGGUGACACCUGGAGACUGACCUCCUGUGUUGUGGGUGGGUUGGAUUGGUUUGCCACAACAGCCGAUUGGUAGGUUCCUCGAUGUUGGGCUCAAUCUGACCAAUGGGGCACAGUCCAAAUGGAUUGAAGGACCUAUUUAUACCCAUGCAUAUGACCCAGAGCUUCCUCUUUUGACUCAUGCAUUCGGAACACCCACCCACCUCUCCCUAAUUUUAGGGAUUUGUGCGAUUGACCUUGCUAUGCCGUCGUGUGUCGUCUGUCAUUGGGACAGGGGCACAGUAGGAAUUUCCCCACUUGGCUGAUUGGCUGUUGCCAUUUGGGAUUCCAAAUGUUGCCGUGUAACAAAUUGUCACAACUUGUAAGGUUGUGGAUAGGCACUGGUUCAGGUGAUAGGGAUAGGGGAGCGGUCUCACCACCCCUAUGUGAAGGGUAUUCCGUUAAAGGAAUCCAGGGACUCAACUGGUUUGGUCAACCCCUGAGAGGGGGUUGUGCCCAUACCUGAGUCCAGGGGGGCAUCUAGGUGGUGAACAGAGUCUGUCCCCGGCUUUUCAUCUUCCCAGGUGUUCACGCUUGGCUGACCUAUGCUGGUGCCCUGGGUCAGCGCUGCCUGCAAGAGUGCAGGGAGCUAGUCGAACCAGAGCCUAUGCACUUUCUGUAAUCAAUAAAGUUGUGGUCUAAAUUCUGCCAAACAUCAAAACUAAAAUUUGAGUCAUGUGUGAAUUUAUUUAGAGGGAAGGUUUCUGGGUCUGAACACGCAAAAGCAAAUGAUAUAACUAUCAAUGCCUAAAAGUGGAAGAGGAAGGGUAAAGGAAGUGGGGUGGUUUCAAAGGGUGAAAGAAAAGGAAGUGAGAUUGUGGCGAUAGAGUUACAUACCCUCUGGCAUUUCUCUGAUGAAAAUAGGGAUGUCCUAUUAUUAUUAAUAAUAAUAAUAAUAAUAUUACCCACCCAUCUGACUGGGUUGCCCCAGCCACUCUAGGUGGCUUCCAGCUUAUAUAAAAACAUAACCAAACAUAAAAUAUUUUUUUUAAAAAAUAUCUAUAUAGGGCUGUCUUCAGUUGUCUUCUAAAGGUUGUAUAGUUACUUAUCUCCUUGGCUCUGGGGUUGCAUAACUCCAUACUCUCCAACAUUUCUCUGAGGAAAAUAGGUAUGUCCUAAGGAAAAGUGGGACAUUCCAGGAUCAAAUCAGAAACUGGGAUGGCGUCUGUAAAUCCAGGACUGUCCCUGGAAAAUAGGGACACUUGGAGGGUCUGGAGUUAUCCUCACCUGAGAAGCAGAGAGAAGACCCUGAAAAGACGUGGGAUAGCAUCCCACCCCACUCUGCCCACCCGCCCACCCCACACAAGGAAUAGGUGGGCGCUCAUCUGUAUUGCUCCAAAUCACCACAGAAAACAUGUAUUAUAUAUUAGCCUGCUGAAGAUAUUUGAAUUUUAAAGCAGAAUAAUAACAACGGAGACCCAUCAGCUCAGUCAUUAGCACUUUUGCUUUCUAGUUGAAGGUGAAAGGCUGACUUUACAAAAAAAACACACAAAGUUUCACUCUCUCUCUCUCUCUUUUUUUUACAGGAACACCUGUCUCAUCAGCAGGACCACUCUGAAGGGAAGGGCCUCCAGGCACCUCAGUCCCAUGAUUCUCCAUGCCUCAUUCUUCAUCCACGCUGCUAGUAAUGUACCAUCACUGGCACAGUUACACCUGAACACUCUGGUGCUGCCAAACACCUGGCUUGAUUUUCCACUGUCCAAAUGAAAAAUAAGCAUAAUCUGCUUUUUUGAGGAUACAGCAAAUGAGGGAGUUCGUGACAAAUUGUGUUAGUUUAUGCAGAAUAGUGAUAAUAAGAUACAAAUGAG